rnacentral:rRNA from 1 species
CCUACGGGUGGCAGCAGUGGGGAAUAUUGCACAAUGGGGGAAACCCUGAUGCAGCGACGCCGCGUGAAGGAUGAAGUAUUUCGGUAUGUAAACUUCUAUCAGCAGGGGAGAAAAUGACGGUACCUGACUAAUAAGCCCCGUCUAACUACGUUCCAGCAGCCGUGGUAAUACGUAGGGGGCAAGCGUUAUCCGGAUUUACUGGGUGUAAAGGGAGCGUAGACGGUAUGGUAAGUCUGAUGUUAAAACCCGGGGCUCAACCCCGGGACUGCAUUGGAAACUGCCGAACUAGAGUAUAGUAGAGGUAAGUGGAAUUCGUAGUGUAGCGGUGAAAUGCGUAGAUAUUAGGAGGAACCCCAGUGGCGAAGGCGGCUUGCUGAACGAUGACUGACGUUGAGGCUCGAAAGCGUGGGGAGCAAACAGGAUUAGAUACCCUGGUAGUC